UCAUGACCUUGUUAGGUGAGGCUCCGUAUGGAGACAAGCUACUGCCCGGAAACGUCUAAAGACGCCAACGGGUCAGCAAAAAAUUUCGGAUGAAGGGGAUUUUUAAUGUAGCUGAGGAAUUUUCUCUAUGCCAUAUGAAGCUAAAGCUCAACGACAGAGGUGUUUU
rnacentral:sRNA from 2 species